GACAGCCUCAGAGCUGGUGGGGAGACAGCAUGCCACUGGAAAAAUUCGUAGACAUGGAAUUCCUGGAUCAAAUGAUACUAAGGGGGACUUGCCUGGAAGCAGACUUGUGUCCGCAGUAUACAAACUCACCCUUUAAUGCACACACUGACCAGAUAACACAAACACAUUUACCCCCACAGCACCUAGACUCUUCUCACAGUACACACACUUGCCUUCCAGUACACAGACAUAUCCAAAGGCACACCGACAAGCACCACAGCAAAAAGAUGUUCCCCAGAACACAUGGACACCCCAAUCCCCGUAUCAUUAGACUCUCCCAGAGGCACGUAUGUACUGCUUAAUGCAGAGACUCACCUGAGGCACACUGAUGCACCCCGCAUGACACAGACUUGCCCCCCCAUAAGGACUCUACUAUGACACACAGACAAUCCCAACAUCACACACUGUUCCCACAUCACACGAACCCAUUUUAGGAAACACACAGCAUACAGACUUACCCCAUAGAACACGGCUUCCCCGACAAGCACACAUACUCUCAAGGCCAGUAGACUCACCCCACAGCACACAGACUUUCUCUAGAGUGUACAGCUUCUUCCCACAGCAAACAGACUCUCCCCAGGGCACACAGACACCCCUGACAUCACAUACUCUCACCACAGACCAUAGACUCGUCCUAGAGCACAGGGACUCUUGCCAAUGAAACAGACUUUCCCGAGAAUAGACUCAUGAGACAGCUUGAAGACCCGCAUCAUGACACAAAGACUCUCCCACAACAGACAGACUCACCCCAUUGUGUACAGACAAGCACCAUAGGCCACAGACCAUCACCUCAGGACACAGACUUGCCCAGCACCACACAGACACUCUGCAGAGCACGUAGAGUCACCCCGCAAAGCACAGACUAAACCCAUACUACAGAGACUCUCCCUAUAGCUUUCAGACAAGUUUACCCCACCACAGAGACAUGCAACGGUACAUCUUACAACAUAUAUCACUCCUUGAUGCACACAAUUGUGCCACAGCACACAAACUUGUCCUACAGUGCACAAAUUCAUGUCACAAAAGACACACUCACCACACAAUACAAAUACUUGCUCCAGCCGGACGCGGUGGCUCACGCCUGUUAUCCCAGCACUUUGGGAGGCCUAGGCAGGUGGAUCACCUGACGUUGGGAGUUCGAGACCAGUCUCACCAACAUGGAGAAACCCCGUCUCCACUAAAAAUACAAAAUUAGCCGGGCAUGGUGGUGCAUGCCUGUAAUCUCAGCUGCUCCGGAGGCUGAGGCAGGAGAAUCGCUUGAACCCAAGAGGCGGAGGUUGCAGUGAGCCAAGAUUGUGCCACUGCACUCCAGCCUGGGCAACAAGGGCAAAACUUUGCCUCAAAAAAAAUAAAAAAAUAAAAAAAAAAACAACCCAGCAACAAAAACAAACAAAAAAAAACAAUUACUUGCUCCAGAGUUCACUCAUUUGCCCUAAAAUAUCUAGACCUUACCCCAGAGUUACCACACAAUGCAUGCUGUGUCCCUGCAUCACCAAAAUACAACUCAAACUCCUCAGACACACUCUGAUAAAUAGACAUACCUGACAAUGUACAGCUUGGCAUCAUAGCAGGAAAAACUGGCUCUACAACAGAUUUAUUCUACAACAGACACACUCAGGCUGUAGAGACACCUAAUCUUUCUUUAAGGUAUUCAGACCCACCCUUUUGGGCACAGUCACAGAUGUGAUCCAGGAUACCCUCACCCAUCCCACAAUACUGAUGCAACCCACAGCGUACAAACACAUCCCACAGCAUAACACUCUAAGCCCACAGUGCUCAGAAAUGUCAGGCACACAUUUGCCAUACAGAUUUACUUCACACACAAAAAACACAGCCAGGUGGGUGGCUCAUGCCUGUAAUCCCAGCACUUUGGGAGUCCGAGGCGGGCGGAUCACAAGGUCAGGGGUUCAGGACCAGCCUGUCCAACAUGGUGAAACCCCGUCUCUACUAAAAAUACAAAAAAAUUAGCCGGGCAUGGUGGCACAUGCUUGUAGUCCCAGCUACUCGGGAGGCUGAGGCAGGAGAAUCACUUGAACCCAGGAGGUGGAGGUUGCAGUGAGCCGAGAUCAUGCCAUUGCACUCCACCUUGGGCAACAGAGUGAGACUUCGUCUAAAAAAAAAAGAAAGAAAGAAAGAAACAAACAAGAAAACAACAACAAAAAACACUUCUUAUAGUGCCUAUACAAUGCAAACAUGUAUCCCAAAAUAUAUGAAACUAUUUGCUAUGUCACUCUUAGGUUUACCCCAAAGCACAUAGACCGUUUUCACUGCUCAAGCUGCUGCCUACAAAACAGGAGAUGCCAAGCCAUGCACAGAAAUUCACCAAAAUGCACAGAUUCACCUAUCAAUAUACAUACUUGCCUCACAACUCACACAAACACCACCGAGCACUGAGACUCACCCUAAAUGUACAGACAAGCCCUUCAGGGCACAGACUUACUCUGUAACAUACUAAAUCACAUCCCCCAUACUUAGAUGUGCCUUAUGAUUCACAGUGAUGCGUGUAAACACAUAGAUUGCUUCCACAAUGCACAGAAUUGCAUCAUAACACAGACUUACUCUACAGUGCAAAACUGACAGUGCACAUAAACAUUUCCCAGUCGGCUAGACACACAACACACAUAUUACUCCUACAAUGUAAAGAUUUCCAUCACGGUGGACAGACGUGCUUUUCCAUGCUGUUGAGCUACAACUCUGGCCUACAACAACAGAAAUACAGCUUGUGUAAUAGUUACCAGCAAGGCCUCUAGACCCAUACUAACUGGGUUUGAAUCAAGGUCCCGUCCCUUGCUGAUUGUAUCACCUUGGGAGGAGAUGGAAGAUUGAGAGCAGAGUGCAAGAAUGGGAAGAGGGCUUCGUGCCCUGUGCACGUUUGCCACCUAGUGACCAAACUGAGCUGGAGUGCAAUGGCGCAAUCUCGGCUCACUGCAACCUCUGCCUUCCGGGUUCAAGCGAUUCUCCUGCCUCAGCCUCCCAAGUAGCUGGGAUUGCAUGCAUGUGCCACCACGCCCAACUAAUUUUUGUAUAUUUAGCAGAGACGGGGUUUUCCAUGUUUGUCAGGCUGGUCUCGAUCUCCCAACCUCAGAUGAUCUGCCUGCCUUGGCCUCCCAAAGUGCUGGGAUUACAGGCAUGAGUCACCACGCCCAGCCUUUAAUUUAUUAUAUUCUAUAAAUAUAAGAACUUGAGGCUACAGAUUUGAAUUAACAAUUUUAUAGGAAAUAUUCAUAAUUUAUUUGGCAAAGGCAGUAUUCAUAUAAAAAUAAUCAACAAAAUCAGAUUUACUUUCAGAAAAAGUGUCUGACUUCAUUUUUCAAGGAAAAAAUAUUAAUAUACGUUUUGAGGUGCAUUAUUAAAACCAUGGAUAAAUCAAUUAUGGAGCACCUUGUUAAAUAACUAGCAAAGUAAAUAUCAUAUUAAAAUAAAUAUGAGGCUUUUAUCCACUUCAAAAUAAAUUAAGAAAUUAAAUAAUAACUUUGUUUCUGAUAUAUAAUUUUAAAUUAAACAAUGUAGUAUGUGGUUACCAUUAUAAGUCAUACAUGAAACAAGGAAUCUGAAGGUAGGCAGAAUUUCUCAUGUAAAUAUGUAUGUAUGUGUUUUUAGAACAUUGGAGUUGAAUUUCUUGGAAUAAUUGACUAAGAAUAGCAUAUACAUUUUUUUUUCAAAUCCAUAAACUUCAUUAGACCAUAGAAUUAAAGUUUUCUUUUUCUUUUCUUCUUCUUCUUUUUUUUUUUUUUUUUUUGAGACAGAGACUCGUUCUGUUGCCAGCCUGGAGUGCAGUGAGUUGAUCUCGGCUCACUGCAACCUCCCCCUCCCAGGUUCAAGCUAUUCUCCUGCCUCAGCCUCCCGAGUAGCUGGGAUUACAGGUGCCCUCCAUCACGCCCAGCUAAUUUUUGUAUGUUUAGUAGAGACGGUGUUUCACCAUGUUGGCCAGGAUGGUCUCGAUCUCCUGACCUCGUGAUCCGCCCAUCUAGGCCUCCCAAAGUGCUGGCAUUAUAGGCAUGAGCCACUGUACUCGGCCUAGUAUCAAACUUUUUAACGAUAUUUUAUGAAAGAGUCUAAAAAAUACUUGCUAAAUAUAAAACUAGCAUAUCAUUUUAUUUUUGAUAAUAGGAGGUAGAAAGUAUAAAGGUUAUUUAUAAAAUGAAAUGAAGAUUGAUGCUUUUUUCUUUUUUCUUUUUCUUUUCUUUUUUUUUUUUUUCUGGAGUCAGAGUCUCACUCUUUUGCCCAGGCUGGAGUGCAGUGGUGCAAUCUCGGCUCAUUGCACCCUCUGCCUCCCGGAUUCAAGUGAGUCUCGUGCCUCAGCCUCCCGAGUAGCUGUGAUUAUAGGUGCGAGCCGCGACACCUGGUUAAUUUUUGUCUUUUUAAUAGAGGCAGGGUUUCACCAUGUUGCCCAGGCUGGUCUCGAGCUCCUAGACUCAAGCAAUCCAUUUGCCUCGGCCUCCCAAAGUGCUGGCAUUACAAGCUUUAGCCACCGCAGUCGGCUGAGGAUUGAUUUUAAUUGGAAAAGAUAUUUUACGAUACAGUCUGAGAAAACAGGUUCUAACAAGUUUAAUACAAUGAUCACAUAAUUUCUGAAAUAAAUUACAUAAUUUCUUAUUUAAUUUUUAACUUUUUAAAUAAUUUUGAUACAUUUGUACAUACUUAUGAGGUACAUGUGAAAUUUUGUUACAUGCCUAGAAUUUGUAAUGAUCAGGUCAAGGUAUUUAGGGUAGCUAUCACCUGAGUAUUUAUCAUUUCUCUGUGUUAGGUACAUUUCAGCUCCUCUCGUCUAGCCAUUCUGAAAAACACAAUGCAUUGUUGUUACCUAUAGUCACCUUACUAUGCUAUCCAACACUAGAACUUAUUCCUUCUAUUUAACUGUGUGUUCGUAUCAAUUAAUAAGCCUCUCUUCAUCCCUCCCCUCCUGCCUAUACAGCCUUCCCAGUCUCUGGUGUCUAUUAUUCUACUCUCUACCUCCAUGAGAUCAACUUUUUUAGCUCCCACAUAUGAGUGAGAAUAUGUACUGUUUGUCUUUUUGUGCCUGGUUUAUUUUACUUAAGAUAAUGACUUCCAGUUCCAUCCAUGUUGCUGCAAAUGAUAGGAUUUCAUUCCUUUUUAUGACCCAGUAGUAUUCCAUGGUUUAUAUGUACCACGUUUUCUUUAUCCAUUCAUCUGUGGAUGGACACUUAGGUUGAUUCCAUAUCUUUGCUAUUGUGAAUAGUGCUGCAAUAAACAUGGGAGUGCAUGUAUCUCUUUGAUAUAUUAAUUUCUAUUCCUUUAGGUAAAUACCCAGUGGUGGUAUUGCCCAUUUCUAUACAUAAGUUUUACCAAAGUCUAAAUAUUUUUUAGUACUAGAAUACAGUCCAAUUGUGUUGAAAAGAAUCAGUGUCAGCAAUAUAUACUGCAACUAGUUAGGAGAUGCUCUUUUUUUUCCCAGUUGAUGACACACGUUUGUGAUUAAUGUUGAGAAUAGAUGGAAAAUAAUGCUUAAUUUUAAGCAUGUGGGAAAAAAUGGUGUUCUUAGGUAGAUUCAUUUUAAGAGAGAAUACACGUAAGAGUUGAGCACCUGAAAGUGGAUUCAUUGAUACUGUUCCUACUCACAUACUUCUUGAAAAGAAUUUGUGUAACAGUAGCCUAGUGUGAAGACCACCGUUCUAGUCUGUCUCCUGCAAGAUUGUUCCAGAACAAUAUAUUGUUGUAAUUGUUGGAAUAACCCAUUUAUUGUAGUUUAUGUUCACAACCAUGCAAUGGAAGUAGUUGUCACUUUUGAAUUUCUGCCAGAUGCUUCUGUGAGUGAUCAUGUUUGAGCAAAAUGUCCUGGAAGGGAUGUUUUUGUUUUGUUGAUAAAUACAUAUUUUGACUAAACUUGUUUUGUCCAGUUUGGGAGCCACAAUCACAUGUGGCUAUUUAACAUUUAAAAUGUGGCUAGUACAAACAGAUAUGCUGUAAGUAUAGAAUACAUACUGGAUUUCAAGGACAGGACACAUAAAGUAUUUCACUAAUAUUUUAUGUUAAUUACAUGUUGAAAUAAUAUUUUGAUGAUAUAGAAUUAAAUAGUACAUUUCACUAAAAUUAAUUUUACCUGAUUUUUAGACUUUUAAAAAAUGUUGCAACAAGAAAAUUUAAAAUUACUUGUGAAGCUCACAUUGUAUAUAUUAUAUGACAGUGCUGGUCUAAAGUUUAUAUUGGAAAUCUCUCUAAGUUUCCCUAAAACCACUUCUAUGGAAAAAAUUGAUUUUCCACUAAUCUGGUUCAGUAUACUGCUAUUCUGAUGUAACGUGUGCCUUUUACUAGUUUUUGGGUUUCCAUAUUGGGGGAUUUUUAGUAGUAAGCAAGAAAAAGUUUAAAAAGUAAUAUUCCAGUAAGAAUAUUGGAAAAAACAUCUAUUAGUACCUAGACGCUUUCCCAUAUGAACUUUGAAAGGCUUCUUGGUGGUUACAUGUGAAGCUUUUCAGACUCUUCAUAAUUCCAGUGGUGGAUAAUGCAUUCUAUUGAAGACAUGAAGUAUUUAAUCACAUCUGAUUUCUUUUUUUUUCUUUUUGAGAUGGAGUUUCGCUCUUGUUGCCCAGGCUGGAGUGCAAUGGUAUGAUCUUGGAUCACAGCAACUUCCGCCUCCCGGGUUCAAGCGAUUCUCCUGCCUCAGUCUCCCUAGUAGCUGGGAUUACAGGCAUGCACCACCACGCCCGGCUAAUUUUUUGGAUUUUUAGUAGAGAUGGGGUUUCUCCAUGUUGGUCAGGCUAGUCUCGAAUUCCUGACCUCAGGUGAUCUGCCUGCCUUGGCCUCCCAAAGUGCUGGGAUCACAGCCGUAAGCCGCCACCCCCAUCCACAUGUGAAACUUUUUUAUGUAAUUAUUUUUAUGUAACAUUAAGAGAAAAAUACACUUCCAGAUAAACUAUGAUGUAAUGCUUUCAUAUUCAUAGAAUUUUAAUUUUAUACUUACUAAUGAGCUCUUUUAGACUUAUUUAGAUAUAUAUUUUUAUUAUGUAUCAUGAUAUAACAACAGCCGUGACCAAAUUUGAGCAUAAACAGACAAUGUCUACCCCUAUUCAACCACCUUCUGGCCCACAGUGACUGUAAAAUUCCAUUGAUUAUAAGAUCCAUUCUGAUUUCAGUAAUAUGAAGUGUGAUUAAAAAAAAAUAUGCAUCCUAGAAUUGAUUAAAUACACCAAGUCAUUUAUCAAGAGAAAAGGAUCAUGGAGGGCAGAAAGUCAAACUGGAAGACAUUGGCCUAAUGAAAACACCUUUUCUAUAUAUUAUCGUAUUUACAAAACUUAAAAUGUGAUUCUCUUUAAAAUUUUAUCAGAGUCCUCUUAAAUAACAUUUCAUUAUACAUCUCCUCAUAAUUGGUAUUUCAUGGUUUUCCUGGCAUUCUGUUCUUUGUUUCCUGGUUUGGAA
rnacentral:lncRNA from 1 species